rnacentral:rRNA from 1 species
AAGACCUUGCGCUUUUGGAGCGGCCGAUGUCUGAUUAGRUAGUUGGUGGGGUAAUGGCCUACCAAAGCUUCGAUCAGUAGRUGGUCUGAGAGGACGGCCAGCCACACUGGGACUGAGACACGGCCCAGACUCCUACGGGAGGCAGCAGUGGGGAAUUUUGGACAAUGGGCGCAAGCCUGAUCCAGCCAUGCCGCGUGAGUGAAGAAGGCCUUCGGGUUGUAAAGCUCUUUCAGCCGGGAAGAAAAGGCUGCGACUAAUAAUCGCAGUUCAUGACGGUACCGGAAGAAGAAGCACCGGCUAACUACGUGCCAGCAGCCGCGGUAAUACGUAGGGUGCGAGCGUUAAUCGGAAUUACUGGGCGUAAAGGGUGCGCAGGCGGUUUUGUAAGUCAGAUGUGAAAUCCCCGGGCUUAACCUGGGAACU